GGUUUGUUCGAGUCCAGCUGAUAUCAGGUUAAAUUAGUUAUCAUUUACAUUGUCUCCACCAUGAACUUAACUUAGUUAAGUCUAACCAAAUGAACAUGAAGUCUUUCUCUCUCUCUCUCUCUCGAUCUCGCUCUCGCUCUCGCUCUCUCUCUCUCAGAGUGUGGCAAACAUAAAAGCUCCAAACUUUUAUGGCUGUUCGUGUGCGUGUAUGUGUGUGUGAGGACUUAAUUAGCCUUAUUAACACAGUCGCCCUCCCAUCUGCUCAUAAAGAUCUAUCCACUCUGGCCGCGAGCUCUUCAGUGAGUCACGUUCACUAGGCUCCUCUUCAGAGUCAGGUUUACUAGGCUCCUCUUCACUGAGUCAGGUUCACUAGGCUCCUCUUCACUGUGUCAGGUUCACUAGGCUCUUCUUCACUGAGUCAGGUUUACUAGGCUCCUCUUCACUGAGUCAGGUUCACUAGGCUCCUCUUCACUGAGUCAGGUUCACUAGGCUCCUCUUCACUGAGUCAGGUUCACUAGGCUCCUCUUCACUGAGUCACGUUCACGAGGCUCGUCACACUCAUUUCGCAGACUUAGCCCUUAGCAUAAGACUCACAGUUAUCCACAUACUCUGGGGGAGGAAGAGAGAAGGAGAGGGGGAGAGAGAGGGAGGUAGUAAGGGAGAGAGGGGGAGAAAGAGAGAGGUAGAGAGACAACGGAACAGAUGCAAACUGUUCCCCAAUUUGAAGCCAAGCAAACGUCUGAGUUGAUUUGUGUGUUUGUUGGAAACUCAACGGUCGAGGGAGAGCGAGAGGGAGAGAGAGAAAGGAGGGAGGAAACGUUGAGUAAACAAUGUAAACGUUUGUUUCCCAUGCCAAUAAAGCUUUUUUGAAUUUGAAUUUGAGAGACCGUUUCAGCCCUGGAGGGAAUCCCUUUGCGUUUUGAUUGACGGGUCGUCCUCAACCGGGGUCUAUUUUCAGUCUGUUAAUGUUGCUGGAGAGGGAGGGAGAGGGGGAGAUAGUAUGAAGGUAUUAUUGUAGCAAAAGUCUUUAGCACCUGUAACUGCAGAUUUUGAAUGCGUACACUAAAGUCACAGUAAAUUUGAAGUCGU
ensembl:lncRNA